rnacentral:rRNA from 1 species
AAACUUUCAACAAUGGAUCUCUUGGUUCUCGCAUCGAUGAAGAACGCAGCGAAAUGCGAUAAGUAAUAUGAAUGCAGAAUUCCGGAAUCAUCAAAUUU